rnacentral:rRNA from 1 species
CUUAACGGUUAAACUUCUUGGGAAUACUGCUUGGCUUGGGACUGGGAGAGGUCAGAGGUACUCCAAGGGUAGGGGUGAAAUCCAUUAAUCCUUGGGGGACCACCGGUAGCGAAGGCGUCUGACCAGUCCAGGUCCGACGGUGAGGGACGAAGGCUAGGGGCGCAAACCGGAUUAGAUACCCGGGUAGUCCUAGCUGUAAACGAUGCGGGCUAGGUGUUGGCAUUACUGCGAGUGGUGCCAGUGCCGAAGGGAAGCCGUUAAGCCCGCCAUCUGGGGAGUACGGUCGCAAGGCUGAAACUUAAAGGAAUUGGCGGGGGAGCACCACAACGGGUGGAGCUUGCGGUUCAAUUGGAUUCAACGCCGGAAAACUCACCGGAGGAGACAGCGAGAUGAAGGUCAGGCUGAAGACCUUACCAGAUUAGCUGAGAGGUGGCGCAUGGCCGUCGGCAGUUCGUGUUGUGAAACAUCCUGUUAAGUCAGGCAACGGGCGAGACCCGCGCUCACAGUUGCCAGCAUCUCCGCAAGGAGGAUGGGCACUCUGUGAGGACCGCCACCGCUAAGGUGGAGGAAGGAACGGGCCACGGUAGGUCAGUAUGCCCCGAAUCCUCCGGGCUACACGCGUGCUACAAUGGGUAGUACAAUGGGUAUCAACCCCGAAAGGGGAAGGCAAUCCCCUAAAACUACCCCCAGUUGGGAUCGAGGGCUGCAACUCGCCCUCGUGAACCCGGAA